CUACGUGCCAGCAGCCGCGGUAAUACGGAGGAUGCGAGCGUUAUCCGGAUUUAUUGGGUUUAAAGGGUGCGUAGGUUGUUCGGUAAGUCAGCGGUGAAACCUGAGCGCUCAACGUUCAGCCUGCCGUUGAAACUGCCGGGCUUGAGUUCAGUGGCGGCAGGCGGAAUUCGUGGUGUAGCGGUGAAAUGCAUAGAUAUCACGAGGAACUCCGAUUGCGAAGGCAGCUUGCCAUACUGCGACUGACACUGAAGCACGAAGGCGUGGGUAUCAAACAGGAUUAGAUACCCUGGUAGUCCACGCAGUAAACGAUGAUUACUAGGAGUUUGCGAUAUACCGUCAAGCUUCCACAGCGAAAGCGUUAAGUAAUCCACCUGGGGAGUACGCCGGCAACGGUGAAACUCAAAGGAAUUGACGGGGGCCCGCACAAGCGGAGGAACAUGUGGUUUAAUUCGAUGAUACGCGAGGAACCUUACCCGGGAUUGA
rnacentral:rRNA from 1 species